ensembl:lncRNA
CGAGGGGAAGCGAGGCGGAACGAGGCAAGGUGAGGCGUGGCAGGCGAGGCGGGGUGGGGCGAGGCUAGGCUAGACGGGGUGAGGCGAGGCGGGGCGAGGUGAACGGGGCAAGGUUGGACGAGGCGGGGCGGGGUGAGGCGGGGCAAAGCUAGGUGUGGCGGGGUGAGGCGGAAUGAGGUGGGGCAAGGCGGUGCGAGGCGACGUGUGGCAGGUGAGGCAGGGUGGAGCGGGGCGAGGGGAAGUAAGGCGAGGUGAAACGAGGCGAGGCGGGGUGUGGCGAGGCGGGGAAGGGUGUGGGGUGACGAGGCGGGGUGAGGCGGGGCGAGGUGAGGCAAGGCGGGGCAGGGAGAGGCGAUGCAA